rnacentral:rRNA from 1 species
CGUCAGCGCGCGCUAGCGGUCUGUCUAGUCAGAUGUGAAUCUCGGGCUCCCCUGGGAACUGCAUUCGAUACUGGCAGGCUGGAGUCUUGUAGAGGGGGGUGGAAUUCCUGGUGUAGCGGUGAAAUGCGUAGAUAUCUGGAGGAACACCGGUGGCGAAGGCGGCUCCCUGGACCAAUACUGACGCUCAGGUGCGAAAGCGUGGGGAGCAAACAGGAUUAGAUACCCUGGUAGUCCACGCUGUAAACGAUGUCUACUUGGAGUUUGUUCCCUUGAGGAGUGGCUUCCGGAGCUAACGCGUUUAAUCCACCUCCUGGGGAGUACCGCCCCAAGGUUAAAACUCAAAGGAAUUGGCGGG